rnacentral:rRNA from 1 species
GACGAACGCUGGCGGCAUGCCUAAUACAUGCAAGUCGAGCGAACGGAUGAAGUGCUUGCACUUCUGACGUUAGCGGCGAACGGGUGAGUAACACGUAAGGAAUCUACCUAUAAGCGGGGGAUAACAUUGGGAAACGGGUGCUAAUACCGCAUAAUAUCUUCUUCCGCAUGGAAGAAGAUUGAAAGACGGCUCUGCUGUCACUUAUAGAUGACCUUGCGGUGCAUUAGUUAGUUGGUGGGGUAAUGGCCUACCAAGACGAUGAUGCAUAGCCGACCUGAGAGGGUGAUCGGCCACAUUGGGACUGAGACACGGCCCAAACUCCUACGGGAGGCAGCAGUAGGGAAUCUUCCGCAAUGGGCGAAAGCCUGACGGAGCAAUGCCGCGUGAGUGAAGAAGGCCUUCGGGUCGUAAAACUCUGUUAUAAGAGAAGAACAAAUUGUAGAGUAACUGCUAUAGUCUUGACGGUAUCUUAUCAGAAAGCCACGGCUAACUACGUGCCAGCCGCCGCCGUAA